rnacentral:rRNA from 1 species
CAAGUCGAGCGGUAACGCGGGAGCAAUCCUGGCGACGAGCGGCGAACGGGUGAGUAACGCUUCGGAAUCUACCUAGUAGUGGGGAAUAACUAACCGAAAGGUUAGCUAAUGCCGCAUACGACCCAUGGGUGAAAGCGGGGGAUCGCAAGACCUCGCGCUAUUAGAUGAGCCGAAGUCGGAUUAGCUAGUUGGUAGGGUAACGGCCUACCAAGGCGACAAUCCGUAGCUGGUCUGAGAGGACGACCAGCCACACUGGGACUGAGACACGGCCCAGACUCCUACGGGAGGCAGCAGUGGGGAAUAUUGGACAAUGGGGGCAACCCUGAUCCAGCGACGCCGCGUGUGUGAAGAAGGCCUGCGGGUUGUAAAGCACUUUUAGUGGGGAUGAAAAGCUCAGGGCUAAUACCCUUGGGUCUUGACCUAACCCAAAGAAAAAGCACCGGCUAACUCUGUGCCAGCAGCCGCGGUAAUACAGAGGGUGCGAGCGUUAAUCGGAAUUACUGGGCGUAAAGCGUGCGUAGACGGUUUCGUAAGUCGGAUGUGAAAUCCCCGGGCUC